AAGUCGUAACAAGGUUUCCGUAGGUGAACCUGCGGAAGGAUCAUUAAAAGUAAUUGGUUAUACAUAUCCUGUAUCAACUGCACAAACCCAUUCCGAGUACCUUGCCUGUUGCUUCCAUGGGGCCUGACUUUGGUCACUCUUGUGAUGCGAAUCCCAAGACGAAGUCCCCAUCGGGGGUAAUGGCAUUAAAUUCAUAGAAUCCAAUGUCAUUCUCUGAAUGAUGAAAAUACAAAUGUUAAAA
rnacentral:misc_RNA from 1 species